UAAAUCCACUAGGGGUGUCAUUUGACUGAGAGAGGUGAAUCCUCAACUCUAAAUACCUGAUCUAGUUCAUACUAGCGUAGGGAAGUGGCUCGGUAAUCGA
rnacentral:ncRNA from 2 species